rnacentral:rRNA from 1 species
GAUUCCUACGGGACGCAGCAGUGGGGAAUAUUGGGCAAUGGGCGCAAGCCUGACCCAGCAACGCCGCGUGAAGGAAGAAGGCUUUCGGGUUGUAAACUUCUUUUAUUGAGGACGAAACAAAUGACGGUACUCAAUGAAUAAGCCACGGCUAACUACGUGCCAGCAGCCGCGGUAAUACGUAGGUGGCAAGCGUUGUCCGGAUUUACUGGGUGUAAAGGGCGUGCAGCCGGGCUGACAAGUCAGAUGUGAAAUCCCGCGGCUCAACCGCGGAACUGCAUUUGAAACUGUCAGUCUUGAGUACCGGG